rnacentral:rRNA from 1 species
AGGACGAACGCUGGCGGCGUGCUUAACACAUGCAAGUGGAGCGACGAACCGGGGCUUGCCCCGGGGCAGAGCCGCGAACGGGUGAGUAACACGCGGGUAACCCACCCCGAUGACCGGGACAACCCGAGGAAACUCGGGCUAAUACCGGAUGUGCUCCUUGACCUUGAGGUCAAGGCGUAAAGAUAGCUUCGGCCUUCGCAUCGGGACGGCCCGCGGCCCAUUAGCUUGUUGGUGGGGUAAAGGCCUACCAAGGCGACGAUGGGUAGCUGGUCUGAGAGGACGAUCAGCCACACUGGGACUGAGACACGGCCCAGACUCCUACGGGAGGCAGCAGUGGGAAUCUGCGCAAUGCGCGAAAGCGUGACGCAGCAACGCCGCGUGGGGGAAGACGGCCUUCGGGUGUAAACCCUUCAGUUGGACGAGCUCGCGUGAAUAGCGGCUGGAGUGACGGUACCUUCACAAGAACGCCCCGGACUAACGUAACGUGACCAAGCAGACCCGC